GUGACUCUGUCUCAAAAGAAAAAGUGUAGGGUACUGAAGAAAUUGAAACAUUAAGAAUACCAUAUGAGUAAAUUAAACACUUUGGCUCUUUUCGGAAAAAAACAGAUGAGCUCUUAUAUUUUAAAGUUUGGUUUUGACAGAAAAAAAUUCCUAGAUUUUUUGGUUAAUAAAAACUUUAUUAGAUAGAUUAAAUUGUGAUGUAUGGAGAUAAAGUUCUGAAAGAAGAAUAGAAAGCUUUUUAAAAAUAGUAUUCUCAGCCUAGGCAACAUGGUGAAACCCUGUCUAUGCUGAGGUUGAGGUGGGAGGAUCACUUGAGCCCAUGAGGCAGAGGUUGCAGUGAGCCGAGAUUGUGCCUCUGUACUCCAGCCUGGGUG
rnacentral:lncRNA from 10 species